UCCUUGGUGGUCUAGUGGUUAAGACUCAGCACUCUCACUGCUGCAGCUGGAGUUUGAUCCCUGGUCUGGGAA
rnacentral:tRNA from 1 species